CCCGCUGAACUUAAGCAUAUCAAUAAGCGGAGGAAAAGAAACCAACAGGGAUUGCCUCAGUAACGGCGAGUGAAGCGGCAACAGCUCAAAUUUGAAAUCUGGCUUCUUUGAAGUCCGAAUUGUAAUUUGUAGAGGAUGUUUCGGCUCUGGCUCUGGUCUAAGUUCCUUGGAACAGGACGUCAUAGAGGGUGAGAAUCCCGUAUGUGAUUGGAAGCCAGUGGCCAUGUGAAACUCCUUCGACGAGUCGAGUUGUUUGGGAAUGUAGCUCAAAAUGGGUGGUAAAUUUCAUCUAAAGCUAAAUACUGGCCAGAGACCGAUAGCGCACAAGUAGAGUGAUCGAAAGAUGAAAAGCACUUUGGAAAGAGAGUUAAACAGUACGUGAAAUUGUUGAAAGGGAAACGUUUGAAGUCAGUCGCGUCGGCCGAGACUCAACCCCGCCUUUUGGCAGGGCGCAAUUCUCGGUCGACGGGUCAGCAUCAAUUUCGAUCGUCGGAUAAAGGUCGAGGGAACGUGGCAUCCUCCGGGGUGUGUUAUAGCCCUCGGUUCCGCAUGCGACGGUCGGGAUUGAGGAACUCGGCACGCCUUCAUUGGUCGGGGCUUCGGCUCACGUUAACGUGUCUAGGAUGCUGGCGUAAUGGCUUUAAGCGACCCGUCUUGAAACACGG
rnacentral:rRNA from 1 species